rnacentral:rRNA from 1 species
UACGUAGGUGGCGAGCGUUGUCCGGAUUUACUGGGCGUAAAGCGCGCGCGGGCGGUCCGGUAAGUCUCCGGUGAAAUCGCCCGGCUCAACUGGGCGGGUGCCGGGGAGACUGGCGGACUUGAGGAGCCUAGAGGCCGGUGGAACUCCCGGUGUAGUGGUGAAAUGCGUAGAGAUCGGGAAGAACACCAGUGGCGAAGGCGGCCGGCUGGGGGUGUCCUGACGCUGAGGCGCGAGAGCGUGGGGAGCAAACCGG